GUUCUUUGCGCAUGCGCACAAAUGCACAUUUUCCCUGGUGCUAAAAGGAGUUUCCAGUCAGGUUCACGGUGACGGUGGGAAAGGAAGACGGGAUAUUUCAGCCCCGGAGUUUUGCUCAGUCGGUCUAUUUGCACAGACAGUCAACAAGAUGACUUAUUGAAAGACCUGGAAAACAUCACCAUGGACAUAUGUGUAAUCAAAAAGAAAGAAGGUGUUCUUGGCGACUAUGACGAUAUUGGAGUCGUUGUUGGAGUGAUGAUUCUUGAGCAGCUCAAAUCUGUGGCACAAGCCUGCAUUGAUGCUGGGUACAAUCUAUGUGCUUAAUUUGGCGUACCCCAAAUAACUAAAAUACUACUUUUUUGAAAUUUUUUAGAAAUUCAUUAUGCAGAUGGAUUCUAAAGCUCUCCCCAAAAAUUCAAGGACUGAAAAACGUUUUAAAGGUGCAGUGUGUAAUUUUUAUCGUCAUCUAGUGGUGAGGUUGCGAGUUGCAACCAACGGCUUAGUCCACGGCUCACUUCUCGCUUUUGAAACACAUAGAGAAGGACAAACAUGUCAUCGUUGGAGACAACUUAGCAAAAAAAUGUCCUUUAAGGGCUUCUGUAAAAAAAAUGGCAGCACAAAAUGGCGACUUCCAUGUAAGGGGACCCUCGGUGUAUGAAGAUGAAAAGGUCUUGUUCUAAGGCAAUAAACACAUAACGGUUCAUUAUGAAAGGUGUUUAUACACCCGUGAUAAUAUAGUUUUGUAUGUUAUUUUGCAUUUCUGUAAAAAGAUCCUCUUAAAAAUUUCACACUGCACCUUUAAUACUGAAAUGUUGUAGCAGACAUGUAUGUGCAUGCUCAGCAUGAAAUGUUAGUCCAGAUGUCACAGUCUACUCUGUUUACCAUUUAAGACCUGGGAAUCCGUAGUUUUAAACAUUUUAAUAAUGCUUUUAAUGAUUCAUAACUGUUGUCUGUAAAAAUGUAACACUUUUUUUUAAAAUAAUUAUUGUGCAAUGUGUGAAGUCAGCACUACUGUUUUUGACUUUUGUGCUGUUUUAUUGAUUCACAAACAUUGUGGCCUCUUUCCAUCUGUGUUUUUUUAUUUUAUAUUUUGUGAAUGUGCAGUGAGCACUUGUUUUAAACACUUGUACACACAAAGAAAUUGUUAUUGAACAUGCACUACAUUUGCUGAAUAACAUUAAACUUACCACUUGGUGUAUUUGCAAA